GGACAAUGGCAGCCUGCAAAGAGUCCUCCCUUCUCAGACCUUGCCCUGGGCACCUCUCCCAGGUGGCUGUUCCUGAGUUGUGUCUUUCGUAAUGAGCCAGCAAUCUACGUUUUCUAACAUCUGGCGCCCAACGUGGGGCUCGAGGUGAGGGCCCCCGGCACUCGCUGUAGAGGUCCCCUCGAGCUCCACCGCCGCGGUAGCCCCAGACCCAGGCGGCUGACCAACCCCCCGGACGGCAGGAUACAGGAUCUCCCAGCAGGUGGCUACGGCUCUGGGCAUCGAUUGGCAUCUCCACAUCCCCUAUCGGCCCCAAUCGUCAGGCAAAGUAGAACGGGUGAACGGCAUCAUCAAGACGCACCUGACCAAGCUUGCCUCAGAACUGCGGCUGUCUUGGGUCGACCUCCUUCCUCUGGCGCUCACUCGCAUUCGCACCACACCACACUCCAAAACAGGUUUGACCCCUUUUGAACUGCUCUACGGCAGGCCCUAUCUCCUGACUCACCUCCCAGAGGGAGAGGCUCCCCCACUCGCGGGGUACCUCUCCCUCUUCU